AUUGACUAUCGUCCUCUUUCAUGUUUCGGUUUUCUUUGGCUAUAUAAACGGACUUAUCAAGCUGCAUGCCAUGUGCACACUUUCUGCUUAAGUAGACAGGAUGGGGAAGCCGCGAGGUGCCUGGGGAGUCUCACGAAAGCGGUAACCAUGAUGGCAAGCAAGAGAAAGAUUGCAAAACAUACAGUCAUGCAUGGACAAGAAGAAACAGCUCAAGAUCAAAAUAUAUUACUGGGAGGUUCGAAUGGGGGUGACGUCAUUUAGCAAUUUCACCUGGAGUAGGCUUCAUACUUCAAAAACAAGUGAUAGACGGUUAAAGCUAGGAAAAUGUAGCUCAGCAAAACUUGGCCAAAGGUUGCAGUACAUAUAAAAAGGCCAAUGCAUGUUGUCCUCUAAUGCACUAGAAUACCAAAUGGAUUCCCCUGUGUCUUGAUAAACUGGAGAGUUGAGGAGAAUAUUGAAACGCAUUCCUAUCACAGCCUCAUCCAUUAUUCGACCACGGCAAGGAAGAUUUGCUCUCUAGGUUAGCGAGCCCCAAGUCAAUAUGAGGUAUUAGCAGAGGUUUCUAAGAGUGAUAUAAUCUUGGGU
rnacentral:sRNA from 1 species